AAGGAGAAGUCUGCGGGUAGCUGAAUGAAGUGGGUUUCAGAGCGCAGGGCAGACUCCGGGUGUCUUGGAGGCGGCAGCGAAGGCUCUGUCUGGGACUGCCAGGCGCGGGCGGGAAGCGGCCGGUUGUAGUCGGGCUUCCAGAAUCCGGAUGAGGCUCGACACUUUCCAACUAAACCUGUGCUAAGCAACACCCAAGGAUGUUGACCAUGAAUUCGAAGAAACCUAGCGUUUC
ensembl:misc_RNA predicted gene, 27308